rnacentral:rRNA from 1 species
UGGGACUGAGACACGGCCCAGACUCCUACGGGAGGCAGCAGUAGGGAAUUUUCGGCAAUGGGGGCAACCCUGACCGAGCAACGCCGCGUGAGUGAUGAAGGUCUUCGGAUUGUAAAGCUCUGUUGUAAGGGAAGAACGGCAUCUAGAGAAUAGGUGAGUGACGGUACCUUACCAGAAAGCUACGGCUAACUACGUGCCAGCAGCCGCGGUAAUACGUAGGUAGCGAGCGUUAUCCGGAAUUAUUGGGCGUAAAGGGUGCGUAGGCGGCCUGUUAAGUUUAUGGUGAAAGCGUGGGGCUCAACCCCAUAAAGCCAUAGAUACUGGCAGGCUAGAGUACUGGAGAGGGUAGUGGAAUUCCAUGUGUAGCGGUGAAAUGCGUAGAUAUAUGGAGGAACACCGGUGGCGAAGGCGGCUACCUAGACAGAGACUGACGCUGAGGCACGAAAGCGUGGGGAGCAAAUAGGAUUAGAUACCCUAGUAGUCCACGCUGUAAACGAUGAAUGCUAGGUAUCGGGGCGACCCGGUGCCGAAACUAACGCGAUAAGCAUUCCGCCUGUGGAGUAUGCACGCAAGUGUGAAACAUAAAGGAAUUGACGGGGGCCCGCACAAGCGGUGGAGUAUGUGGUUUAAUUCGACGCAACGCGAAGAACCUUACCAGGCCUUGACAUCCCUUGCAAAAUCCUGGAGACAGGACAGAGGUUAUCAAGGAGACAGGUGGUGCAUGGUUGUCGUCAGCUCGUGUCGUGAGAUGUUGGGUUAAGUCCCGCAACGAGCGCAACCCUUGUCUUUAGUUACUAACAUCAAGUUGAGGACUCUAGAGAGACUGCCGGUGAUAAACCGGAGGAAGGUGGGGAUGACGUCAAAUCAUCAUGCCCCUUAUGGCCUGGGCUACACACGUACUACAAUGGCUAUUACAACGUGCAGCGACAGCGCAAGCUGAAGCGAAUCACUGAAAGAUAGUCUCAGUUCGGAUUGAGGUCUGCAACCCGACCUCAUGAAGUUGGAAUCGCUAGUAAUCGCGGAUCAGCAUGCCGCGGUGAAUACGUUC